GAGAGAGAGUUUACUUUUUCGAGCGAGUGGCGAACGGGUGAGUAACGCGUGAGGACCUGCCUCAAAGAGGGGGACAACAGUUGGAAACGACUGCUAAUACCGCAUAAGCCGGCAUCGGAAAAGGAGCAAUCCGCUUUGAGAUGGCCUCGCGUCCGAUUAGCUAGUUGGUGAGGUAACGGCCCACCAAGGCGACGAUCGGUAGCCGGACUGAGAGGUUGAACGGCCACAUUGGGACUGAGACACGGCCCAGACUCCUACGGGAGGCAGCAGUGGGGAAUAUUGCACAAUGGGGGAAACCCUGAUGCAGCGACGCCGCGUGGAGGAAGAAGGUCUUCGGAUUGUAAACUCCUGUUGUUGAGGAAGAUAAUGACGGUACUCAACAAGGAAGUGACGGCUAACUACGUGCCAGCAGCCGCGGUAAAACGUAGGUCACAAGCGUUGUCCGGAAUUACUGGGUGUAAAGGGAGCGCAGGCGGGAAGACAAGUUGGAAGUGAAAUCCAUGGGCUCAACCCAUGAACUGCUUUCAAAACUGUUUUUCUUGAGUAGUGCAGAGGUAGGCGGAAUUCCCGGUGUAGCGGUGGAAUGCGUAGAUAUCGGGAGGAACACCAG
rnacentral:rRNA from 1 species